UAUCUCACAAUGGGGGGAACCCUGAUCCAGCGACGCCGCGUGAGUGAAGAAGUACUUCGGUAUGUAAAGCUCUGUCAGCAGGGAAGAAAUCAUGACGGUACCUGACUAAGAAGCUCUGGCUAACUACGUGCCAGCAUCCGCGGUAAUACGUAGGGGGCAAGCGUUAUCCGGAUUUACUGGGUGUAAAGGGAGCGUAGACGGCAGCGCAAGUCUGGAGUGAAAUGCCGGGGCCCAACCCCGGAACUGCGCUGGAAACUGUGAAGCUGGAGUGCAGGAGAGGUAAGCGGAAUUCCUGGUGUAGCGGUGAAAUGCGUAGAUAUCAGGAGGAACACCGGCGGCGAAGGCGGCUUACUGGACUGUAACUGACGUUGAGGCUCGAAGGCGUGGGGAGCAAACAGG
rnacentral:rRNA from 1 species